rnacentral:rRNA from 1 species
UACGGGGGGUGCGAGCGUUGUCCGGAAUCACUGGGCGUAAAGGGCGCGUAGGCGGCGCCGCAAGUCGACUGUGAAAUCUCCGGGCUUAACCCGGAAAGGUCAGCCGAUACUGCGGGGCUAGAGUGCAGAAGGGGCAACUGGAAUUCUCGGUGUAGCGGUGAAAUGCGUAGAUAUCGAGAGGAACACCUGCGGCGAAGGCGGGUUGCUGGGCUGAUACUGACGCUGAGGCGCGAAAGCUAGGGGAGCGAACAGG